GAUGAACGCUGGCGGCGUGCUUAAUACAUGCAAGUCGAACGAAGGUUGUAGCAAUACAUCCUUAGUGGCGAACGGGUGAGUAACGCGUUGGUGACCUGCCCCGAAGUGCGGGAUAACAGUCCGAAAGGAUUGCUAAUACCGCAUGGUUUCAUUUGGAUUAGAUGCCAGAUGAGCAAAGGCGAAAGUCGCUUCGGGAGGGGCUUGCGUCCCAUCAGCUAGUUGGUAGGGUAAUGGCCUACCAAGGCAAUGACGGGUAGGGGACCUGAGAGGGUGGCCCCCCACAAUGGAACUGAAACACGGUCCAUACACCUACGGGUGGCAGCAGUAGGGAAUAUUGGUUAAUGUGCGAAAGCGCGAACCAGCAACGCCGCGUGCACGAUGAAGGCCUUCGGGUUGUAAACCGCUUUCAGCAGGGACGAAGCGAAAGUGACGGUACCUGCAGAAGAAGCACCGGCCAACUACGUG
rnacentral:rRNA from 1 species